rnacentral:misc_RNA from 1 species
AACGCACCUUGCACUCUUUGGUAUUCCGAAGAGUAUGUCUGUUUGAGUGUCAUGAAACUCUCAACCCCCCUGUUUUGUAAUGAAAUGGGCGUGGGCUUGGAUUAUGGCUGUUUGUCGGCGUCAUUGCCGGCUCAGCUGAAAUACACGAGCAACCCAUUUGAAAUAGGCGGUUUGACUCGGCGUAAUAAUUAUUUCGCUGAGGACGUCUUCUUUAAAGUCAGCGGUGCUUCUAAUGCGCUUUUAAUUAAGCAUCUUAAGCUUUAGACCUCAAAUCAGUCAGGACUACCCGCUGAACUUAA